rnacentral:rRNA from 1 species
GAUGAACGCUAGCGGCAGGCCUAACACAUGCAAGUCGAGGGAUAAGCCUUCGGGCUAAGACCGGCGCACGGGUGCGUAACGCGUAUACAAUCUGCCUUUUAUCCGGGGGAUAGCCCGAAGAAAUUUGGAUUAAUACCCUAUGGUAUAAGAGCACGGCAUCGUGCACUUAUUAAAGCUACGGCGGUAAAAGAUGAGUAUGCGUUCUAUUAGCUAGUUGGAGAGGUAACGGCUCCCCAAGGCGACGAUAGAUAGGGGUUCUGAGAGGGAUGUCCCCCACACUGGUACUGAGAUACGGACCAGACUCCUACGGGAGGCAGCAGUGAGGAAUAUUGGACAAUGGUCGGAAGACUGAUCCAGCCAUGCCGCGUGCAGGAUGACGGCCUUAUGGGUUGUAAACUGCUUUUGUAAGGGAAGAAUAAGGAGUACGCGUACUUUGAUGACGGUACCUUACGAAUAAGCAUCGGCUAACUCCGUG